rnacentral:rRNA from 1 species
AAAUUGAAGAGUUUGAUCAUGGCUCAGAUUGAACGCUGGCGGCAGGCCUAACACAUGCAAGUCGAACGGUAACAGGAAGCAGCUUGCUGCUUCGCUGACGAGUGGCGGACGGGUGAGUAAUGUCUGGGAAACUGCCUGAUGGAGGGGGAUAACUACUGGAAACGGUGGCUAAUACCGCAUAACGUCGCAAGACCAAAGAGGGGGACCUUCGGGCCUCUUGCCAUCAGAUGUGCCCAGAUGGGAUUAGCUUGUUGGUGAGGUAACGGCUCACCAAGGCGACGAUCCCUAGCUGGUCUGAGAGGAUGACCAGCCACACUGGAACUGAGACACGGUCCAGACUCCUACGGGAGGCAGCAGUGGGGAAUAUUGCACAAUGGGCGCAAGCCUGAUGCAGCCAUGCCGCGUGUAUGAAGAAGGCCUUCGGGUUGUAAAGUACUUUCAGCGGGGAGGAAGGUGUUGCGGUUAAUAACCGCAGCAAUUGACGUUACCCGCAGAAGAAGCACCGGCUAACUCCGUGCCAGCAGCCGCGGUAAUACGGAGGGUGCAAGCGUUAAUCGGAAUUACUGGGCGUAAAGCGCACGCAGGCGGUCUGUCAAGUCGG